rnacentral:rRNA from 1 species
GACGAACGCUGGCGGCGUGCCUAAUACAUGCAAGUUGAGCGAUGAAGAUUGGUGCUUGCACCAAUUUGAAGAGCAGCGAACGGGUGAGUAACGCGUGGGGAAUCUGCCUUUGAGCGGGGGACAACAUUUGGAAACGAAUGCUAAUACCGCAUAACAACUUUAAACAUAAGUUUUAAGUUUGAAAGAUGCAAUUGCAUCACUCAAAGAUGAUCCCGCGUUGUAUUAGCUAGUUGGUGGGGUAAAGGCUGACCAAGGCGAUGAUACAUAGCCGACCUGAGAGGGUGAUCGGCCACAUUGGGACUGAGACACGGCCCAAACUCCUACGGGAGGCAGCAGUAGGGAAUCUUCGGCAAUGGACGAAAGUCUGACCGAGCAACGCCGCGUGAGUGAAGAAGGUUUUCGGAUCGUAAAACUCUGUUGGUAGAGAAGAACGUUGGUGAGAGUGGAAAGCUCAUCAAGUGACGGUAACUACCCAGAAAGGGACGGCUAACUACGUG